CAGCAGCCGCGGGAAUACGUAGGUGGCAAGCGUUGUCCGGAAUUAUUGGGCGUAAAGGGCUCGCAGGCGGUUUCUUAAGUCUGAUGUGAAAGCCCCCGGCUCAACCGGGGAGGGUCAUUGGAAACUGGGAAACUCGAGUGCAGAAGAGGAGAGUGGAAUUCCACGUGUAGCGGUGAAAUGCGUAGAGAUGUGGAGGAACACCAGUGGCGAAGGCGACUCUCUGGUCUGUAACUGACGCUGAGGAGCGAAAGCGUGGGGAGCGAACAGGAUUAGAUACCCCGGUAGUCCCUGUCUCUUAUAC
rnacentral:rRNA from 1 species